rnacentral:rRNA from 1 species
CUCGUAGGUGGUUUGUCGCGUCGUCUGUGAAAUUCUGGGGCUUAACUCCGGGCGUGCAGGCGAUACGGGCAUAACUUGAGUGCUGUAGGGGUAACUGGAAUUCCUGGUGUAGCGGUGAAAUGCGCAGAUAUCAGGAGGAACACCGAUGGCGAAGGCAGGUUACUGGGCAGUUACUGACGCUCAAAUGCGAAAGCGUGGGGAUCAAACAGGAUUAGAUACCCCCGUA